CCGACCUUAGCUCAGUUGGUAGAGCGGAGGACUGUAGUCGGUAUAGUUAUCCUUAGGUCGCUGGUUCGAAUCCGGCAGGUCGGA
rnacentral:tRNA from 1 species